CACGUAGGGGGGCAAGCGUUGUCCGGAUUUAUUGGGCGUAAAGAGCUCGUAGGCGGCUUAGUAAGUCGGGUGUGAAACCUCCAGGCUCAACCUGGAGACGCCACCCGAUACUGCUGUGGCUAGAGUCCGGUAGGGGAGCGUGGAAUUCCUGGUGUAGCGGUGAAAUGCGCAGAUAUCAGGAGGAACACCAGCGGCGAAGGCGGCGCUCUGGGCCGGUACUGACGCUGAGGCGCGAAAGCGUGGGGAGCAAACAGG
rnacentral:rRNA from 1 species